UACGAAGGGGGGCUAGCGUUGCUCGGAAUCACUGGGCGUAAAGCGCACGUAGGCGGGUUGUUAAGUCGGGGGUGAAAUCCUGGAGCUCAACUCCAGAACUGCCUUCGAUACUGGCGACCUUGAGUCCGGGAGAGGUGAGUGGAACUCCGAGUGUAGAGGUGAAAUUCGUAGAUAUUCGGAAGAACACCAGUGGCGAAGGCGGCUCACUGGCCCGGUACUGACGCUGAGGUGCGAAAGGCGUGGGAGCAAACAGG
rnacentral:rRNA from 1 species